CUCAUUCCUGCAAACUAAGGUGUUAGAGUCAACUGUUCUAAUAUUUAUUCAUGUUGUUUGAAUGCUUUCUCUCUUUCCCAAGAAUUCACAAUGCAUGACUGGUUUCAGUGAGCACUCUGGAACAACCUGGGGGAGAAUGACUACGCCUUGUACAGAACAUGCAGUGAUGCUGAAGCUAUAUGAGGUAUCUGUUUGGCCUGGUUAAACCAGUCGAUCCACUCUUCAAGUGUAUCACCUGCCACAGUGAGAAUUCCAUAAACAGUGAGAAGAGAACCGAGUUAAACACAGUCACAUCAAGUGAAAACUCUUCAGCAUGGCACGUUAUCACUGCUUUUAUUGAACAAGGAUUUAAAAGCUCAUAGGAUACAAGGUUUGAGUUUUGGAUGCUU